CACACACACCCUCUGCAGGGACAUGAAUAAAUAGUGAUUUGGUUAAAUGUGUAAAAUUGAUUACAGGAGCUGUUGCUGAUGUGGAGGAAGUGGAGGACGUCCAGGUCACUGAGCCAAUCUGCCAGCUCCCGUCCACUGAACUCCACCCUCAGACGUCAGCUGUCGUCCUGUUUUCACGCCACAGCCGUGCUGGUGAGCUGCACAGCGCCCGGCUUAACAUCUGGUUCCUCACCUCCCACAUCUACGGC